rnacentral:rRNA from 1 species
UACGUAGGGGGCUAGCGUUGUCCGGAAUCAUUGGGCGUAAAGAGCGUGUAGGCGGCCCGGUAAGUCCGCUGUGAAAGUCGGGGGCUCAACCCUCGAAUGCCGGUGGAUACUGUCGGGCUAGGAGUGCGGAAGAGGCGGAGUGGAAUUCCUGGGUGAUAGCGGUGGAAAUGACGCAGAUAUCAGGAAGAACACCCGUGGCUAAGGCGGCUCUCUAGUACGGUACUGACGCUGAGACGCGAAAGCGUGGGGAGCGAACAGG